AAUAAUCAUAAGUAGAUGAAAAAUAAAUAAAUAAAAUUAACCUCUUACUCUCUUGUUCCCUCUAGAAGGUUGCCUGUUAAUUGUAACUGCAAUAUCCUUUCUGCAGACUAUACAGUGCAAAGAGAAACAUUUUACUUCUCCAAAUAAGUUUAUGUUUCAUGGAAACCUAGAGAGAUUCCUGUAAUUUUCCAACUAUUACAGCCACCAAACAUCUUACUCUUGAAGAUUAUUAUUAGAUCCAGCAGUUUUCUCUUUCAUCUGUACGCUCCUAACAGAUGAGCUGGUUUUGUACCCCCUCAUAAACUUUCAAAUUAAACUCCUACAUGCUCUCCUGCUUCAUAAUUUGGUGCUUUGGGACACUACCAACAUUAGCUCAGUUAAGAACAAAACCAUUAUUCACAUGAGGUAGAACUGCCUCAUCUUCAAACAGUAAACUCCAACUUACCAAACAAAUCUGCAUUGCACUCAAUAUUUAGCUUAAAUAGUCAGUACCACGCAAUACAAUUUCAAGCACAUUCAAUUUAAUGGAAGAAAUGAUUUCCAGAAAGAAAAAGUGAAAUUUCCAUAAGAAGUCUGGGGUAAUCUUGUUGUUAAUGAAAAUGUUUUUGUUGGUUCUUUCAUAGUCAAACUCAUCACCAACUGCCCCUUGCAUCACUGACAAGUGAACAUGGAUAACUAUGCUCCAAAGUAGUAUACAAUUGCCACUUUAUGCAGUAUAAAUAAUUGUUUAGGCAGAAAAAAUAGUAAACUGCUUGUUCCAUAGACUUUAAACUACUCAUCUCUCUAUGUUGAAAAAAGUGAUAGCCUUGUAGCUUCCCGCUGGAAUGCAUGGCCCAAUAAAGCCAUGUAAGGAUAAGGAGGCAAAUUAAUCCAUACCUCCUAAAAGCAAUUAGGGUACCUAUGGCUAAUAAUUGCCAGGAUGCUUCUAGUGAUGCUCCAGUGACACUCAGCAGAUAGCAGAUUCAGGACUAACAAGUGCUACAUCUUUGAAAAAUACAGUGCAUGAUCCAGGCCCAAAAUUACCAGCCAGCUUAGGGGAAAAUAUGGCAAUAUUGGUGUCCUUAUCUACAGGGCAACAAGAAUGUGCAGGGGGCAGUCCAAACCUUGCUGUUUCCCUAACCCCACAUACUUGUUAACUGUAGUCAAUAAUUGGCCCAAAAUAUUUAGGUGUAUUUUCUAUCUAACUCUUUCACGAUUAUAGUAAUCUUCAUAGAGCAGGCUACAAUUUCCAAAUGUAUACAGGCAAUAACUGUCAACACUGCAGCAGCUGCUGCCCUUCCAGAGGGAUUCAUGUGCUUAGUGGAGGGAAAAAAAUAUAAGAAUGAAGGUUCAGUGCUUCCCUUUCUUCGUCUCUUUCUCAAAGAUAAGAGACGUGAACUGAACAGGCCAGCAUGGGUCUGCUAAUUCAGAGACAGGACUAAACUUGAUCUCCUGGUGGUAAGAAUGAGAGAUUAAGUUAAGGAGCCAUAUAGCUAGGCCGGUCACUAUGUGAAUGAGACCUGACCUCAAUAAAGCCUCCAUUUACUCAAUAAAAGUCCUAGCAAAGGUUGUAGGCACUCCUUUAUUAUAACCUUUUCCUUUCAGGCUAAACCUGUGAUCCACAAAUCUGAAUCCCCAAGCUCAGGUCCUGUUUGAGAAUUCUUGGAGAAGAAAUCUCCCCUUUCUGAUGGAUUGACAAACCUCUCCUGACUCGUACCAAGAGCAGUAUUCAGACAAGCCCAGGUUCACAAAUAUGGGAUUGCUCAAAUGAAAAUUGGGAAACUCUGGAAACUUGAACUGCCCAUUAAGGAGAUGUCCCAGUGGAGGGAGCCAAGUGUAGCAAGACAGACGUUCACGUAGGUUCAUGCAGACUGCAAGGAUGGGAAAUCCAGUCAUUAAGGCACAAGUGAACAAAACAAAUUAGGAUGGAGACAGAAGUCUGUGUUCCUGUGGGAUAAUCUUUCAUUUCGUAAAUGAUUAUUUACAUUUAAAUGCAAAUAUUUCUGACCUCUGGUUUGUUCAGAUAGCCAUGGUCAGGGUGCAACAACAGAAUCAUUUUGUUCUGAUACUUGCUCUGAUGUUUAUAAAAUAAAAUCACCAUGGCUGUAUUUCCUUUCAUUUAUGAAGUACUUUACUGAGGCAGAUUUAUUCUGGGGUAAAAGACAGGCAGAUGGCAGGGAUAUACAGGUCAUGUGCUCUUCAACGCUUAUAAAGAAACCCCUCCAUGCCCAUGCAUUUUCCAUCUCCCGCCGAUUAAGGCUGAGAAUAACUAUAAAAGUGCUCAUUAUAAACUGAAAUAUCUGAUUCUAAAGAUAAACAUAUUGCCUAAACUAAUUAUUAUGUUCAGUUUUAUAUACCCCCUGUGAAAAAUAAAUGUCCUGAUUAAACAAAAUGAAGCAUCUGAUUGUCCAAAUAUGACAGUGUCGCGAUCUGUUGUUUUUUCUAUUAUUGUUCAUAUGCCCGCGAUCCUGAUUCCUGUAAUU